rfam:Felis catus isolate Cinnamon breed Abyssinian chromosome A3, whole genome shotgun sequence.
GCCUGGGUGGCUCAGUCGGUAGAGCGACCGACUUCGGCUCGGGUCAUGAGCUCACAGCUCGUGGGUUCGAGCCCCGCGUCGGGCU